UUUAUGAUUUUUUUCUUACAU
rnacentral:piRNA from 1 species